UUACGGGACUCAAUCGGACAUCCGAGUAAAAAGUUAUUGUCGUUUGAAUUUGUUCAGAGCUUCUACAUUCAAUUUUGAGCUUUUCGAUAUAUUACGGGACUCAAUCAGACAUCCGAGUAAAAAUUUAUUGUCGUUUGAAUUUGCUCAGAGCUUCGGUAUUCAAUUUCGAGCGUCUCGAUAUAUUACGGGACUCAAUCAGACAUCCGAGUAAAAAGUUAUUGUCGUUUGAAUUUGCUCAGAGCUUCAACAUUCAAUUU
rnacentral:lncRNA from 1 species